rnacentral:rRNA from 1 species
GACGAACGCUGGCGGCGUGCUUAACACAUGCGAGUCGAACGGAAAGGCCCUGCUUUUGUGGGGUGCUCGAGUGGCGAACGGGUGAGUAACACGUGAGUAACCUGCCCUUGACUUUGGGAUAACUUCAGGAAACUGGGGCUAAUACCGGAUAGGAGCUCCUGCUGCAUGGUGGGGGUUGGAAAGUUUCGGCGGUUGGGGAUGGACUCGCGGCUUAUCAGCUUGUUGGUGGGGUAGUGGCUUACCAAGGCUUUGACGGGUAGCCGGCCUGAGAGGGUGACCGGCCACAUUGGGACUGAGAUACGGCCCAGACUCCUACGGGAGGCAGCAGUGGGGAAUAUUGCACAAUGGGCGGAAGCCUGAUGCAGCAACGCUGCGUGCGGGAUGACGGCCUUCGGGUUGUAAACCGCUUUCGCCUGUGACGAAGCGUGAGUGACGGUAAUGGGUAAAGAAGCACCGGCUAACUACGUG